CUCACGGAAAACAGCUUGCAUCCCAAACUCUGACUCAGCAUCUGCUUCUGAAGAACCCAGCGGGGACAUGCUGACACAGGCCGACACUUGGGAGAGCCUGAUGGCGUUCAAUACCUGUGAAACGACUGAAUUCAUGACCACACCCAAGCUCACAGCUCCGAAGCGCCAGACAAACCCCGAUGGGCUGUUUUCCUUCAUGCUGUGUUGCUUUUCUGACACAUGUCCAUCACUCCGAAAAUUAUCCACCAAGACAGAACAACAGAUGCUAACGUCACAGAGUACAAAGGUCACUGAUCCAGCCUCCAGUCCACGUCGCAACCAGCCUCUAAGAGAGUCCGUUUGCUGAGUAUUGAUGUCGUGUCAAAGGAUGUGCACAAUGUAGGAAAAGGAUAUUAAAUACUCUUCGCCCUUCCAACCCCUCACACAUCUGUGUGAAGCUGGGUUUUAUUCACGCAUCUCAAGCAACACGCCACAGCAGAGGAAGAGCCGAAGCAGAGAGGAAGAUUAGCCCUGAGCUAACAUCUGCUGCCAAUCCUCC